rnacentral:rRNA from 1 species
GACGAACGCUGGCGGCGUGCCUAAUACAUGCAAGUAGAACGCUGAAGGAGGAGCUUGCUCUUCUGGAUGAGUUGCGAACGGGUGAGUAACGCGUAGGUAACCUGCCUGGUAGCGGGGGAUAACUAUUGGAAACGAUAGCUAAUACCGCAUAACAGUAGAUGUUGCAUGACAUUUACUUAAAAUGUGCAAUUGCAUCACUACCAGAUGGACCUGCGUUGUUUUAGCUAGUUGGUGGGGUAACGGCUCACCAAGGCGACGCUACAUAGCCGACCUGAGAGGGGGGUCGGCCACACUGGGACUGAGACCCGGCCCAGACCUCUACGGGAGGCAGCAGUAGGGAAACUUCGGCAAUUGACGGAAGGCUGACCGAGCAACGCCGCGUGAGGUAAGAAGGUUUUCGGGUCGUAAAGCUCGGUUGUAAGGGAAGAACGAGCGUGAGAGUGGAAAGUUCACACUGUGACGGUAUCUUAACAGAAAGGGACGGCUAACUACGUG